UACAGAGGUCUCAAGCGUUGUUCGGAUUCAUUGGGCGUAAAGGGUGCGUAGGCGGCGCGGUAAGUCGGGUGUGAAAUCUCGGGGCUUAACUCCGAAACUGCAUUCGAUACUGCGGUGCUUGAGGACUGGAGAGGAGACUGGAAUUCAUGGUGUAGCAGUGAAAUGCGUAGAGAUCAUGAGGAAGACCAGUGGCGAAGGCGGGUCUCUGGGCCGAUAUUGACGCUGAGGAGCGAAAGCGUGGGGAGCGAACAGG
rnacentral:rRNA from 1 species